CAUUAUUAAUUGUGGUAAACCUUAUCUGGCAGUACUUAAGAGUGCAUCUUUGACUUUAUUACUCGAGUGAAUGCACCUUCAAACCGGUUUAACACCAACAUGUCACAGUAAUCAAUACCAUCUGUGUUAAGAUGUCGGGAAUGUGUUAGACGAAUGAUUUUGUUUUAUGGAGCUUUGAAGAGCGAUGAAUGGCACUAAAGUGGUGCCAAAUGGAUAUCUCAAACACCCAUUGUUGAUGUGUGAUGCUGAUAAUACAGAGACAGCUAGAGUGACAGAGUUUGAUGAAUAAACUUAAAUUAAAAAACAGAAAUAACCACCAUCUCUCUCAGAGGUCAUCUUUCUCAUUAUUGUGGGAAACCUCAAAGGGCAUCAGGAAAACCUUCAUCAACCUCUUUGUGCCCAGUGGCUUGUGCAACAGUGUUUCAGAAAUUAUCAUUAAAAUGGGGAUAAUGGAUGACUGGCCACACAUAUGGGGCUAUGGACAAGCUUCAGAGCAGGCUGCCAGGUGGUGGUGUUAGUAGUUUAUACUCCGGGUCCCGGCGUGAGCACAUUGAAGGGUCCCAGAGUGACGGUUCAACCACCCACACCUAUCCUGGGCAGAACCAGUACUAGGUGCCUUCACCUCUGCAAGGAACUGACAGCUUCUGUACAUGCCAGGUGCAGUGGUACAGUGCGAAUGGUCGUAGAAAGGAUUUCAUAACCAAUCACAACAGAGGUCACCUGGUCCGCCCGGGAAUCGAACCCGGGAUGUCCAAUUCAGAGUCCAACGCUCUACCGAUUGAGCUGACCGGGCGGACAUAUUAGCUACAUUAGAUGACAAGCCAUCUAUGCUGGACAUUCUUCACAAUAAAAUGUGAUGUCACAGGAGCUGUCUAUCUCAACAGCUCACACUGUCCGUAUUUGACUAAAGGAAUGAAUGAAGUCACUGCAGAAGUUAGAUUGAGGAAUGUCCAUGUCACUACCCAUCAUUUGGAAGGAGUUGGAUAAAAAAAGUGUGGCCUAUGUAUUGAAACAGGUCCGAUUUCCAGUUACGGACAGUCUUGAUUUGUCUGAUUACAUUUUUGACCAACAUGAUGGUCUAAAAGAACACUUACUGGUAACUGGUAAAAUCAUGGCCCAGUUGUUCCAAGAGGCAGGCGAGUGGGAAGUUACUAGACUCCAUUUCUUUAUGGGCUGAUCUGAGGUUCCAGUUCAGUUAAAGUACUGAUAGAACACCAAGUGUUUGCCAUAAUACAGCAACAUUUCAUUUGUAACUAUGUAUUUGUUUGAAUUGUUGAAACAGUACUGUUUACUAAAUAAUGUGUAUGUAUAUGAAGAAUAAUAUUAUAAAUAAUUUGUAAGAAC